rnacentral:rRNA from 1 species
AAAGAAGCAGAGGGGGCUUAGUGGUGGGGUGACUGCGUACCUUUUGUAUAAUGGGUCAGCGACUUAUAUUCUGUAGCAAGGUUAACCGAAUAGGGGAGCCGGAGGGAAACCGAGUCUUAACCGGGCGUUAAGUUGCAGGGUAUAGACCCGAAACCCGGUGAUCUAGCCAUGGGCAGGUUGAAGGUUGGGUAACACUAACUGGAGGACCGAACCGACUAAUGUUGAAAAAUUAGCGGAUGACCUGUGGCUGGGGGUGAAAGGCCAAUCAAACCGGGAGAUAGCUGGUUCUCCCCGAAAGCUAUUUAGGUAGCGCCUCGUGAAUUCAUCUCCGGGGGUAGAGCACUGUUUCGGCUAGGGGGCCAUCCCGGCUUACCAACCCGAUGCAAACUGCGAAUACCGGAGAAUGUUAUCACGGGAGACACACGGCGGGUGCUAACGUCCGUCGUGAAGAGGGAAACAACCCAGACCGCCAGCUAAGGUCCCAAAGUCAUGGUUAAGUGGGAAACGAUGUGGGAAGGCCCAGACAGCCAGGAUGUUGGCUUAGAAGCAGCCAUCAUUUAAAGAAAGCGUAAUAGCUCACUGGUCGAGUCGGCCUGCGCGGAAGAUGUAACGGGGCUAAACCAUGCACCGAAGCUGCGGCAGCGACGCUUAUGCGU